rnacentral:rRNA from 1 species
UACAGAGGGUGCAAGCGUUGUUCGGAAUUAUUGGGCGUAAAGCGCGUGUAGGCGGCUUUGCAAGUCGGGUGUGAAAGCCCUCAGCUCAACUGAGGAAGUGCGCCCGAAACUGCAGAGCUUGAGUACCGGAGAGGAUGGCGGAAUUCCCCAAGUAGAGGUGAAAUUCGUAGAUAUCGGGGAGGAACACCGGUGGCGAAGGCGGCCACUCGGUGAGCGUAUCGACGCUGAGUGCGAAAGCGUGGGGAGCAAACAGGG